rnacentral:tRNA from 1 species
CNCCCGUUGGUCAAGUGGUUAAGACACCGCCCUUUCACGGCGGUAACACGGGUUCGAAUCCCGUACGGGUCA